UACGUAGGGGGCUAGCGUUGUCCGGAAUCAUUGGGCGUAAAGCGCGUGUAGGCGGCCCGGUAAGUCCGCUGUGAAAGUCCAGGGCUCAACCCUGGGAUGCCGGUGGAUACUGUCGGGCUCGAGUCCGGAAGAGGCGAGUGGAAUUCCUGGUGUAGCGGUGAAAUGCGUAGAGAUUGGAAAGAACACCGAUGGCGAAGGCACUUUACUGGGCUAUUACUAACACUCAGAGACGAAAGCUAGGGUAGCAAAUGGG
rnacentral:rRNA from 1 species